AGAGUCAGUGUGGUUGAGGCUGUGUGAAGAGAAGGACCUGCGCGAAUGGUCCUGCUCACGCUCGUUUGAUUGCCGCGGUCGUGCUCUCUGUCUCCCUCUCUCUCUCUCUCUCACGUCGCUGCGCCAACUGUUUGCUUUUCGUCUGUGUACUCCACGCCUCGCAGCGGAUGGUGUGUGAGUGAUGGGCACGGCGGAGCAGCAGAAGGAGCACUCCGGGGUUUCUGGAUCGUCCAGCCUGGAGUGCGGGGAGGACGAGGCUGCCGCGAGGGCCCCCGUGUCCCGCGGCUCCUCAACCGGCGUGGCCGCGACGCCCUCCAAUGCCAGCACCAGCGGAGCGUCAGGGAGCCGCCGGGGGCGUGCGUCGCCCACAAGUGCCUUCAGUAGGAUCCCCCUCGCCAGAUUUUGUGAGGAAAAGCGAGCGCGUCGCUGCAGAUUUUAUCGAAAUGGUGACCGUUGGUUCGGCGGGAUGGUGGUACCGGUAGGCGGUGACAAGCACAGGUCAUGGGAAGCCCUGCUGGCAGAUUUGACGCGUUUGCUUGAUCACUCUAUUCACCUGACGGCGGGCGUGCGGCAUGUGUUCACGCUGGACGGCACGCGCGUGACAUCACUCGACCAGAUAUGCGAGGCGGGUGAAUACGUGGUUUCCUCCUCGGAGACGUUUAAGCGCCUGGAAUACACCCGCGCGCGCCUGCCGCAGUGGCGGGCGACCGCACGCCGCAACGAGGCGCUGCACGUGUCUCCGCGAACAACACACGUCACUCCGGCAUCCACGCCUGGCAACGAACUCCCUCCCAGCCUCAUGGGCUCCUCCAUGUCGGCGGAUUCCCCUAAGGACUUCAUCCGGCCGAAACUCGUCACAGUGAUCCGAAAUGGAAUCCGGCCACGCAAGGCGGUCCGGAUCCUGCUCAACCGCCGCACCGCUCGGAGUCUCGAGCAGGUCCUCUCGGACAUCACGCACGCCAUCAAGCUUGACACGGGCGCCGUCAGGAAAGUCUACACUCUGGAUGGAAGACAGGUGAUGAGCCUCCGAGACUUCUUCUACGACGAUGACAUCUUCAUAGCAUACGGUCCCGAGCGGCUCUCGCACGAUGACUUCGACUUGGACUCAGAAGAGUGCAAAACAAUUCAGCCGAUGGUGAAGUGUCCGCUGAGCCCACGCCGGCCACGUCGCAUGCCCUCUCCAAAGCCACGCGGCCGAGCUGUAUCUCCUCUUGCAAUAUUCGAUGGGCCAGGUUGUAGUUUACCAAGGUCACCUAGAAAACCUAGAGCACAUUCACCUCAUAAACGACUAAGUCAGCCUAAUAAUCAGAUAUAUCAGCAGCACCAAGAUCCACCAAUGUACAAUGGUCACAUAGCAUGUGGUGGUCUUGAGAACAUCAUUUUCCCAACAUGUGUAACCUCCAGGUAUUCAGUCGGUCGUAUCUUGGGGGAUGGAAACUUUGCUGUAGUACGUGGGUGUGUCUGUCGAAAAACAAAAGAAGAAUAUGCUCUCAAAAUCAUUGACAAGGCUAAGUGUCGUGGCAAAGAGCAUAUGAUUGAGAGUGAAGUUUCCAUACUUAGGAGGGUUAGCCAUCCAAAUAUUGUUAGUCUAGUGGAAGAAUUCCAUACCUCGCAACAUCUCUACCUCGUUAUGGAGCUAGUCAGGGGUGGCGACCUGUUUGAUGCCAUUGCCAGUGCUACCCGCUAUACAGAGCAAGAUGCAAGCUCUAUGAUUAGAGACUUGGCAUCUGCUCUUGAUUAUCUCCAUCAGCGAGAUAUUGUUCACAGGGAUAUCAAGCCAGAAAAUCUCUUGGUGGUAGACCGAAGUGAUGGAAGCAAAAGUCUAAAGCUAGGAGACUUUGGGUUGGCUGUAGAGGUCACAGAACCAUUAUAUACAGUAUGUGGCACACCAACCUAUGUAGCACCUGAGAUUCUUUCAGAAUCUGGGUAUGGCUUAAAGGUUGAUAUCUGGGCAACUGGAGUCAUCACAUACAUCCUUCUCUGUGGAUUUCCACCUUUUGUUUCUGCAACAAAUAACCAAGAGGAGUUAUUUGAUCAGAUAUUAAGAGGACAAUAUGAAUUUCAUGCCCCAUAUUGGGAUGAUAUAUCUGAUUCUGCAAGAGAAUUGAUUGUCCACAUGAUUCAAGUGGACCAAGACAAACGUUUUAGUGCACAAGAGGUUCUGGACCAUCCAUGGGUCUCGGAUGAUGAGGCUCUGGACCGAAACCUUCAUCUUCGAGUGUCCCAUAAACUGGGUCUCCACUUUGACACAAACGGUCCCCAGCACAAGGCUGCCGGAAUCACUCUAAUGGCCGCGGAGUCCACGCCCUGCUUGCAUACAGUAGAAGUUCUAUAGUGUCUGGCAAGCAGGUGGCAGAUGGAAACAGGCAAGCAAGGAAGCAGGAUAAUGCUAAGGGAAUAAGGGGCUACUGACCAUAUAGUCCACAACAACAGGCUGACCACUACUACUCCUACAAGAACCAAACACUUACACUCACAAGAAUAUGAAUACAAAAUGUUUAGAAUAAUUUGCCAUGCUGAUUUCUAAAUUAUUAGUAUUCAUGACAGAUUAUACUGGUUCAAAUUACCAUUGUACAGUAUUUGCUCAAUAUUUUCAUUAAUCAUGUUUCUUCAUUUUUCUGUUCUCCAUUUUUUAAUGCAAUGCUUCAGUAUUGUGGUUUUGCUGAAUCAUAUAAUUUUGUUUUAGCUUUUCCUAGUCAGUCACUUUGUUAGAGACCUGUGAAGUAUUGUGAAAGUUUAAUUGAAAACUAAAAAACAUAAAAUCUGCUAAACUUGUGGUGCAUUAAUGGUUUUAAAUUAUUUUCAUAAAAAUAUAUGACAUGGCUAAAUAAGAUUUCAUUUAUUAUGCAUAGUAAUUAUUGUAUUGUGAUAAAGAAACCAGCUAGAAGCAAAUUGAUAGACAACUACACAACAUGCAAAGCUAACCAUAUCAGGCCAUGAUUUUGGCCUGGCAUUGCUUCUAAAGCAGGUAACCGCCUUGGACAAGGAGAACAGGAGUCUCCGCCGUGAGGGAGAUCCACGAGAUGUUCCAAAUCUAACAAGUCCACCAUGCAGCCCCAGAAUGACUCUGUAUGCAAAUAACAAUCAAGUUUUUUGAAAGUGUAUUGAAUUAGAUACCAACACAGUCCUUUAUCUAUUACUACUAUGUUUGACAUAUAAAAGACAGUAUGUAUAUUACAUUAUGCUGGAGUCAUGUUGGAGACUGAGGCAACCUUUCAGAGUAAGCAAAAUGUUCACAAUACAAUAAUUUUCAAUUUGGUUCAUUAUUAUUUUACAUCAGAGCAUAAAUGCUAUUUUGUAAUAUGAAUGAUAAAUGGUUAUUUUUUAUCAAAAUAGUAUUUUAGUUACAAAUUUUUAAUUUGAAAAGGCUUAGUCAAAAUGAUAUUGAACAUCCUUCAUUAUUAGUAAAAUAUACCUGAAUGUAAACAUCUCAUGGUGCUGUAAGAAAAAUUAUAUAAAUUGUUCAUUAGGGGUGACAGUCCUUUGUAUAUUAAUCUUGAGUCCAGCACCUGGAAUUGAUUCAGGCAAGGUAACAGCACAUUGUUAUGGAAUUCUUCAGGUUAUCAUAAUUGCCUUUAAAAAAUAAGAUGUUUUAUUUAUUCCUUUAUCAUAUUGCUAUCAUUCCUUUAUAUGUACAGUGCAUGCAGGAGAAGAAAUCAUAAAAUUAGUCACCAUCUGAAGUCAUAUUUUUCUUAAAUCAUUGAUUACCAUAAAUUUCUUCCAAAGGAAAAUACAUGAUUGUAAAGUGCAUAUGUUUGGUGCUAAUGGUUAUAAAUAGUAGAUACCCAUGCCUAUGUAAAUAUGAAUAUGAGCAGUUUUUGAUGCUGUAGUUUUAUAUGAGGUGAAUGUAUGAACUUCAGUGUUUCUUUACCUUAAAUAAUAGUCUUAUUCAGAAGGAGCUUGUAAGCUUGUUCAUCAUGUUAAAAAUGAUUUUUAAAGGAUGUAAAUUUACAGUAUGAGCAGUCAUUGAAAUGAUAGGUUAAGACAAGGGACCAAUGCAUUGGGGCCUAGAUUUCAGUGAGGUGCAGCUUGUAUUGUGACAGCUAUGUCAUAUAAUUAUUUUAUCCUCUCAGUGAUGUCUUAUGUUUAAUGUUGUUAAGUAUCAUUUGCAUAUGGGCAUUAUUUUCCCAUGUAGAUAAUACUCAAAUACAGCAUAAUUUAUGUAUUUCUGAACUUAUGUUAUAGUUUGAUUUAUUAUUAUUAUUAUUUUAUGUUUUUUUUUUUUUUUCUGAACUUUUGUUAUGGAGUUUGAUUUUUUUUUCUUUCUCUCUAGAGAGAUUUUGUUUAUCAGUGUUUUGCAUGGGCAAACAUUUUGAAAAGAAAUGUUAUCAUUAUAUAUUGAGUGAACAUCAGUGAAAGAAAUAUAUUUUUUUUGUCAUUUUCAUAUCACUUUCACUGUAAAUAAUUUUUUUGUAUUUAAUGUUCUAAAAAGUUGCUGCUUCUUGUUCCUAGGUAUGGACUUGAAAUUAAUACAUUUGAACAACAAAAAAUGUUAUUAGUGUGGAUAUAUUGAUAGUGCUUAUCUAAAAUCUAAGUACACUACCCUGAUAGAUGGUUAAUAUGUGUUUGAAUGUAAUAUAUUUCACCAUCAUCUCAAAAUGAGUGACUGUAGAGUGUCAAAUACAAAUAUGUAUUAGGCCAUUUGCUUUAAUUACUUAUUCUUGUGUUACUUGCAGUUUACUGAGUGGAAUUGUAUGUUAACAUUCUGCUUACAGACUAGCAUAUUUAAUGUGAUGUGACAAAAUAAUAACUGAAGAUAUGGAAAAGUUUGAAUAGAUCUGUACAUUUUAUUUAAUAUUAUUGUGCUAAACAAUAAGGUCUUGGUGCUUUUAGUGUAUGUAAGGUGUUCUACUCUCAAAUAGGACAAGUUUAUACUCCAUGAAAAAUGUUUGUAGAUAUAUGUGGAAAUAAACUUUUAUUCACUUGAA